CUCUCCUGAUAACUGAUGAUGGAGGAGAAGACAUGAAAAACAAAUCAGGCUGAAUUCAAGUUCAAACACCACGAGGACCAACUGCAGUUCUGAUCUCACUGCUGAGCUGCACAACAAACCAAGCUCGUCUGACUGUGAGUCCCAGCAGCUCUCAGUUCUUUGAAGGAGACUUUGUGUCUCUGAGCUGUGAGGAGGACGACAGCUCUGCUGGAUGGACUCUGAGGAGAAACACAAGCAAGACAGAGGACUCAGUGUGGGAGAUGGGUUGGGACAACCGCUG